rnacentral:lncRNA from 1 species
UUGAAACCUUUGAAACACUUUUGUACUCCUCGGAUAGUGAUAAAGAUCGUGUUGAUGAACACUUAGAUCGAAACGUGCUUGACUGUCCUAUUUUAUUUAUUGAUGAUCUAUCUGUUUUGAUGGUUGAUAAAAAGAUUCUUGUUUUUGAUAAUGCAUGUGUGAGUGAAUCUAUAGACCGUCGAUUAAUGCAUGGUAUGAUUAUGCAACUCUGUGAACCAUGUGAAUCUUUUCAAAUACCUACUUGUGACGAUUAUGUUUACCAUUUGAUUUAUUACUCGUAAUUUAUUCAUGGUUUGUGGGAACAAUGUGAGACCACUGAAUGCCUUAAAACAUGUCCAUCUUUGUUUCAAAUAUUUGACGAGGCAGUGGUGAGUAAAUUAGAUUGUUUGCAUGGUAAUCUGAAUCUGUCCAUUCACAUGCGUUAUACCUGUUCUAUUAUGCUUAUGAUUGGACUACAAGCUUAUUUCCGUUGCUAUUUACUAUCUCAUGGCUAUUCUUCUCAGUGGACUCAAUUGCCAUUAGUCCCGUUCGAUAGAGGAAAGUCGAGUUCAUUUGAUUUUUCAGAUUCGAGGACGAAUCUUUUUGAGGAAGGGGGGAAUGAUACGAGUCACAAAAGCCCAAAUUCUUGAAGGCGAGGCUCAAUAAGCAAAUUCUUCCAAGCCCAAUCAAGAAAUCCACCCAUACUUAGUUGAAAAUCAGGCCAAAUUGUCAAAGUGGCCCAAGUUGUAAAGUUUUAUUUUUUUAUUUAUUUAUUUUACUUAGUUUAAAUUUUUAUAUUCAGUCCAAGAGUCCCAAUUAAAAGACCCUUGGCCGAAUUUCCAUAUUAAAAUAAUUAGGAGUUUUUUUUUUAGUUUUAGUUUUAGUGUUCUAAUUAAAUUAGGAAAACAUUUGAAAGGCCUAUUUAUAUGGCUUGGCCAGCCACCCUACAUUACAUUACAAUUACAUUGAAAAUUUCAGAUUUGAUUUGAGUGAAAAUUCUCUUUGAGUUCUUCAAGGAUUUUCUCUUGAGUUUUCUUUAGAAGUUGUUUUAACAAUCUUUUUGAUUGUGGGAGCCAUCUUCAACCUUCUUCUUGCCAUUGAUAUUCUUUGGAGGGGAGAUUAGAGCCG